CCGUCGAUAGCUCAGCUGAUAGAGCGGAGGACUGUAGAGUUGCAGCAAUCCCUAGGUCGCUGGUUCGAAUUCGGCUCGACGGA
rfam:Angiostrongylus costaricensis strain Costa Rica genome assembly, scaffold: ACOC_contig0001369